rnacentral:rRNA from 1 species
CCCAGACUCCUACGGGAGGCAGCAGUGGGGAAUAUUGUACAAUGGGGGGAACCCUGAUGCAGCGACGCCGCGUGGGCGAGGAAGUAUUUCGGUAUGUAAAGCCCUAUCGGCAGGGAAGAAGAAAUGACGGUACCUGAAUAAGAAGCACCGGCUAAAUACGUGCCAGCAGCCGCGGUAAUACGUAUGGUGCAAGCGUUGUCCGGAAUCAUUGGGCGUAAAGCGUUCGUAGGCGGUAUGUCAAGUCUGAUGUUAAAGCCCGGGGCUCAACUCCGGUUCGGCAUUGGAUACUGGCAAACUAGAAUGUGGUAGAGGUAAAGGGAAUUCCUGGUGUAGCGGUGAAAUGCGUAGAUAUCAGGAGGAACAUCGGUGGCGAAAGCGCUUUACUGGACCAUUAUUGACGCUGAGGAACGAAAGCCAGGGGAGCAAAUGGGAUUAGAUACCCGAGUA